UGGCGUCCAUGAUGUUUUUGCCACAAUCUACAUUGUUUGAUCCUCAUGAAAUUUUUCACUGGCUGAAACGCCG
rnacentral:snoRNA from 1 species